AGCUUUUCACAGCUGCACUAUCAUAGCCAAUGAGGUUUAUCUGAGGCAUGAUUACUACCAACUGAAAAUUUUCCCCCAUAAUCCUAAAAUUUGCAUUUUCUGCACAUUGUGAAAGUUUUUACUAUGUUAAAGCU
ensembl:snRNA U4 U4 spliceosomal RNA